UGACUAUCAAUAAGGGUGCUCUGCCCGAUA
rnacentral:sRNA from 1 species